rfam:Vigna angularis cultivar Jingnong 6 scaffold301_25, whole genome shotgun sequence.
GUGCUUUAGGGAUGAACAUGUCCCUAACAUUCAAUUCAUCCAUCCUUUUCACUUUGUCAGCUCUUUUUUCUGUUUCUUGCUGAUCAUUAUAGGGUGGAAAAUCU